rnacentral:lncRNA from 1 species
GAUCAUUGAAGUAUAUCUAGUCAAACAUAAAACUUCAUUGAUAGUAAAGUUGGAGAGUCAUUUCACCAUGUGCACUUUUGUUUUUUGUCCUUACAAGGUUGCUGUCUUGCUGAUUUGCUGAUGUGCAAACCUGAAAUCUCCUUUAUUUAUGCUGUUCUUGCUAGAUAAUUGAUAUAUAUUUUUAUACCCCACCCCCCUUUUCCCCCUCCUCCUCCCCCCUCAACAACUUCCGGUUUACCGAGCACUAAUGUAUCAUUUUACACAUCAAAGCCAAGUUGAAAAUUUUUGUCACAUUUUUCUUAGGAACUACAAAACUAGGAUUUCUGAAAUUUGGUUUCAGGGGUUGUAUAAGUACAUGUUUUGAAUUAAGAAAAUGAGAGUCUGGAUUGUGUUUACAAACAGGAGAAUAAUGAGGCAAUAUAUACCACAGAAAAAAUAUCCAAAAAAAUUUAAAGAUCAAAUUUAAGUUUGGCCGAAAAAAAAUUAAGAAUAGAUCAAAAAUUAGGCUGCUAAAAUAUAAAGAACGGAGAAAAAUAAUCCAAAUAUAUAAUAAAUAGAAAAAUAUAGGCCAAAAAAGUAAAGAAUAGUGAAAAAUGUGGUUGCUAAGUAUAAGAAAUAGAGAAAAAUUAAAAAUUAAAAAAUCAAGAAUAAAAAAAUGAAGGACCCUG